rnacentral:rRNA from 1 species
AGAGUUUGAUCCUGGCUCAGGACGAACGCUGGCGGCGUGCUUAACACAUGCAAGUCGAGCGGAAAGGCCCUUCGGGGUACUCGAGCGGCGAACGGGUGAGUAACACGUGAGCAACCUGCCCUUGGCUUUGGGAUAACCCUCGGAAACGGGGGCUAAUACCGAAUAUUCACUGACUGUCGCAUGGUGGUUGGUGGAAAGUU